CCGAACUGUACAAAUACUGUAUCAGGAAUUCAAGAAUUGUAUUAGCUUUCCUCCUACAAGGGGGACUGAGGGAGCUCUCAUAAAGACUUUCCUCUCAAGAUUUGAAAUUGAAGAACAUUUUGAAAAGGAGAUUUGUGUGCUGUUCUUUUCCAUUUCUCAAGGCAGGAUCCACCGCCUACCAAAAGGUGCUUGGAACUCAAAAUCGACCAGGAAGAAGGUCAGAUCUGUCCAUUUUGAGCAAUUUGUAGAAUUACUUUGUAAAUAAUUAGAAAUAAGUAUUUUAGGAUUAGAUUCAACAAGGUACCUUGGGAUUUUUGGGAAUUUUGGUUCAAUAGAUAUUAUUGAAAUUUCA